CAUCGCCCAUCGCUCUUAUCGAUUGAAUGGUUCGAUGAAGUGUUCAGAUUGCGGCGACGUGGGUGGUUCGCUGCCCGCGACGUCACGAGAAGAUCACUGAACCUUAUCAUUUAGAGGAAAAAGAAGUCAUAACAAGGUUUCUGUAGGUGAACCUGCGGAAG
rnacentral:ncRNA from 1 species